UACGUAGGGUGCGAGCGUUAAUCGGAAUUACUGGGCGUAAAGCGUGCGCAGGCGGUUUUGUAAGUCUGUCGUGAAAUCCCCGGGCUCAACCUGGGAAUUGCGAUGGAGACUGCAAGGCUAGAAUCUGGCAGAGGGGGGUAGAAUUCCACGUGUAGCAGUGAAAUGCGUAGAGAUGUGGAGGAACACCAACGGCGAAAGCACUCUGCUGGGCCGACACUGACACUGAGAGACGAAAGCUAGGGGAGCGAAUGGG
rnacentral:rRNA from 1 species